rnacentral:rRNA from 1 species
UACAUGGGGUGCAAACGUUGCUCGGAAUUAUUGGGCGUAAAGCGCGCGUAGGCGGUUACUCAAGUCGGAUGUGAAAGCCCUCGGCUUAACUGAGGAAGUGCACCCGAAACUGAGUAGCUAGAGUACUAAAGAGGGUCGCGGAAUUCCCGAUGUAGAGGUGAAAUUCGUAGAUAUCGGGAGGAACACCGGUGGCGAAGGCGGCGACCUGGGUAGAUACUGACGCUGAGGCGCGGAAGCGUGGGGAGCAAACAGG